GUAAACAUGGAGCCCUAGUUUUCUUCCCUAUAUAAAUAAGCAGGCAGCAUACCCCAAUACCACGAAGGAUGCUUACCCUCGAGCUAGGGUUUCGCCGCCAAUCGCCGCCCUCCCUCCCUCCCAAUCUAGGCUUGAAAAUUUUAUUGCAAAUCAAUUCAUGACUCUGAAUGAACUCGCUAGCAUGGAUAUAAUCAGGAUCAUCAAGUGAUGAAGUUUGGAUGAAUCUUAGGACACCUUCCUACACAGUUUCAAAAGCUGUGGAUGAGAAAUAAUAUCCAUUCUGAUGAUGAUUAAUGUGAGUUAUCUUAAGCGAAGGAAUUGAUCAUAAGUUCUCUUUGGGAGACAAAUAUGCAAAUUAGCUUGGAUUGCGGGGCAAUAUUUUUAGGUUGAAUAGUUGUAAUAGAAUUUGGUAGUUUUAUCGAAUAAUAUAUUGCUUCCAUAAAUCAAAUAACGUUGUUGUCCAAUGUUUGGAGGGAAAUUUUGGAUUCAAUAAUAAGAUGUAAUAUAAGACUAUUAAAAUUUAUUCAAUUCAAAUCCAAGGCUGAAAUUUUAUACACCCAAACAGUCGUGAAUAUUUUUAAAAAAUAAUAAUUAAAAAUAUGAAAGGAAAAAUAUUUUCAAAUUUUUUACUAAAGCCAACUUUAGAUUGAGGGUUUUGUUUGGAGUUCAUGCAAGGAAAGGAAUUUCGCUGUUUUCGUCUUCCUUACUACCCAUUGUUUAUAGAGGUAUUAAUGAAUAUUACUGUUUCAAUGUUUGCUUCAUUUUCUUAUAUUAAUUGACUAAUAAAUACAUGUUUAAGUUUCUCCACAAAUAUAAAAUUAUAUUAAAUCAAAUAAUAGAAGCCGAAUUUUUCAACAACAUGAUAUAAUAUACAAUCAAUAGAGGUUAGAGAGACAAAUUUUAUCCUUAAGUUAUUAUUUAUUGUUAAUUUUUUGAGUUUGAUUCUUGGUUUUGAUUAUGAUAAAUCAUAAGUUAUGUAUGUGUAUUCAAUGUUUGAAGCAGGUUUAAUACUUUGGCGCACACAUAAGAAAGAUAUGGAAGUUAGGAAGAAUAUAAAGAUCAUAUCAUCGGGCGUAUUUUAUGAAGAAUUCGAGGAGCAAAAGAAGAAUAAGACAUUUGUUAUUUUGAUUGUCAAUGUAUUUUAGUUUUUAAUUUGGUUUGUAAUAAAAGCAUGACAUGCAUGAUGUGGAUGUAAGUUCAAAAUGACCAUAGUUUAAUCGCAGAGAUCCAAACUUGACCUUA